GGAGAGGUGGCCGAGCGGUCGAAGGCAGCGGUCUUGAAAACCGCCAGGCGCGAAAGCGUCUCGAGGGUUCGAAUCCCUCCCUCUCCGCCA
rnacentral:tRNA from 1 species